rnacentral:rRNA from 1 species
UACGAAGGGGGCUAGCGUUGUUCGGAAUCACUGGGCGUAAAGGGCGCGUAGGCGGACUCUUAAGUCGGGGGUGAAAGCCCAGGGCUCAACCCUGGAAUUGCCUUCGAUACUGAGAGUCUUGAGUUCGGAAGAGGUUGGUGGAACUGCGAGUGUAGAGGUGAAAUUCGUAGAUAUUCGCAAGAACACCAGUGGCGAAGGCGGCCAACUGGUCCGAUACUGACGCUGAGGAGCGAAAGCGUGGGGAGCGAACAGG